rnacentral:misc_RNA from 1 species
UCAAAGUAUCAAGCUUGGCUUGUCGUUGGGCCCUUUGUCCUGGUGACAGGUCCAAAAGAUAAUGACCGGUGUCAUAAAGACUCUAUAUGCAACGAGCUUAUAACAGCACGCAUCUAGUAGUUAUAUGGCCCGGUUGUCACCCCUUUAUUUAUCAA